CAGUGCGGUCGGAUCGCGAUCGUCUCGCGUUUUCGUGCCUUUUUCACUCAUUCUAAAAAAGUUUUGUGCGGAUGAGUAAUUGAAAUGUCGAAUUUAGUGACGAACGGUUAUUUCAAAGUAUUGAUAAGCUCGCAUGAAGGACGCCUUUCGGCGUUCAAAAACAAAGUCUUCGCAUUCCAUUGCAAAAUAUUAUUUUUAGAUCCAUAUCUUUACUACGUAUUUUGUGUUAUUGUGCAUCCAACAAGCAUCGCAUAUGUUCUCUAUUAUUUGCAGCAUUGAGGAGCAUCAAUGAGACCAUCGAGGAUUCGCUGCAAUAGAUUCAUCGAAGCAGAGUACAAGUGUAUAGUGUAAAGUGAUCAAGAAAGAACAUGAUGACUCCAUAAAGAUGAUUGCCAGAUUCAAAGGAGCAACUAGGAGCAGAAAGGAGCAACGACCAGAAACAGGAAGGACAGGAGAAAGAAAGCAUGCAGUGGCGGCGCAUCAACCGGUUUUUCUUAUCCGGCCACGAAAUGAAUAUCCGGUUGUGGGUUUUAUUGCUACACGCGGAGCUGGGAAUCGAGCGCGGCGGGGUGGACAAGGGGAUAUCGACGGCGAAGCUGUGUCACCUACAUUCCCUUUAAAGGAGAUCGUUCUCGAGAAAAAAAAUCCAUAAUCAUCGACUCUUUCAAACUGACAACACGUGGAAGUUUCUACUGUCGAAGCGCCAGACUUCUUGCCGGAGGCUGUAGGUCGAGAGAGAGAGAGAGAGAGAGAGAGAGAGAGCGCGGAGAUCGGAACAGAUGGGAAAAACUCGUAAGGAAAAGCUCGACGAUUUUCCAAUCGAGCCGCGGGGUGUUCGUUGUCCCUCCGAAGAGAACAAAUCGACGAACAACGCCGACGAUCGGAUUGCGUUCCGGUCGAAAUCAGCUGAAUAAGUGAGAUAGGCAGUCGCCAGUAGAUGGAGGCGACUUGGCGCACCUUGUCGCAACCGGUUGCAGUUUGAAACAACAGCCACCACACCGUCGUUAUGUUUCGCGCGCGCGCGCGCGCGCACACAUUGGGUUUUGCUGGCGCAAUACGGAUAUUUUCAACGUGGGCGAAAAGGAGCCUGACGAAUGCCGGGCGAAAUCCGAAAAGCAUCGUUGUCUGAAUUUGUGGCUGAGCGUGACGGACAGCUCUGACCCGGGAUGCAUUAUCCAGCGCGUCGAGAUCCACCCCUCGCUGCCGUCCCGCGGAUUCUGGGUCUGGGGGAAUACAUGACAAGGGCCAGGGCCGUUUGCAGCGGUGCUAUUUACCACGACGCCUUCGGGAAAGAGAUGUAUAUCCGCGAGAGAGGUGAGUUAACAUAAUGGAACGAUUUUAAUAAUUCCCGAUAUAAAUCAACGAGAAGAUACACGACGUGAUACAGCUACGUCCGCAUUUCAAUAAACCGCAAUGCAGAUCUCUCUCGACAUUAUAAUACGUCUCUUUUCACGAAAUAACAGUGACGGGAAAUAGCGAUCGUAAGCGCGGUGCGAUAUGGAAGCGGGGAGGGCGAAAAUAUUACGAAUGAAAUGCCCGCGAUUUAGCGCAUUUUCAACUUAAUUCUUUCUAUACAAUUUCAACGUACACCGACGAGUAAUCCGCCAAAUCGAUAUACGACAUCCGAAGUGCUAACAUCGUCGGAAAACAUUCGGGAGAAAGCUCAAUUACCACAGUUGGCUCUACAACGCCGCAAGCCCGUUGGCCGUUUUCACCGCUCGCAAACGUUUGCGACUGUAACUCACUUGGCCGCGCUAUCUCGAGCUUUUCCCGGUUGUUUCAGUAACCGUUGCGAAGGUGAAAUCUCUCCCGCCGUCGCGCGUUUCCGGGAACGGUUAGCGGGAGAGACAAUUAGGAGGAAAACCGAUCGCGACUGGCUGCGACGUGUUAAUCCCGUCGCAGUCGCUUUUUCGACCGAAUUGUCGCGCGCACAAUAGGAGUCCGACGAGGAAAAAAAAAAGCAGGCGCGCCCGAACGACGCGAAAAUAUGAUCGACGAAUUUUUAUCUCGUUUCGCUAGACGCACGACAGACGCCGGCGGGCGCGGAUAUAAGCGAGCUAUAUUUUUUUCGUACGACCCUCGCCGCCGGCCGCCGCCGGCUUGAUAAUUGGAAGCGUUCAAUUAGCGUGCCUUAAUUGCGGAGCGAACCGCAACGCGGGUGCCGAUUCUCAAACUACAAUUAAUGGCUAUCACCUUUCUAAUUAACGAGGAACGAUGCUCGCGCGUGUAUCGAUCGUCGCGCAUGAUAAAAAGGAUAUCGCGAAGAAUGGUACAAGCGCGAAAAGGGAUGCGAUUCGACGCAGGGUAACGCGAGUGGAUCGACAUACGAAAAACCAAAUGCCUUAAAUACACUUAAAAAUUACGCCCGAAGAUCAUGAAGUUUAAUCGUCCUUCACCGUCGGGGAAAGAAACGCCGAAGCGAUUUUCUUUUAUGCGAGAUUCUUAUCGAAAUCCUGUUCGAUAUUGUAGUUUUGUAGGUAGAUACGCUGUGUAUAUACGACACGGCCGAGACGCA